CCUACGGGUGGCAGCAGUGAGGAAUAUUUGUCAAUGGGCGCGAGCCUGAACCAGCCAAGUAGCGUGAAGGAUGAAUGCCCUACGUGUUGUAAACUUCUUUUAUAAAGGAAUAAAGUGAGGCACGUGUGCCUGUUUGUAUGUACUUUAUGAAUAAGGAUCGGCUAACUCCGUGCCAGCAGCCGCGGUAAUACGGAGGAUGCGAGCGUUAGCCGGAUUUAUUGGGUUUAAAGGGAGCGUAGAUGGUUUGUUAAGUCCGUUGUGAAAGGUGGGGGCUCAACCGGAACAUUGCAAUUGAUACUGGCAGUCUUGAGUACAGGUGAGGUAGGCGGAAUUCGUGGUGUAGCGGUGAAAUGCUUAGAUAUCACGAAGAACUCCGAUUGCGAAGGCAGCUUACUAAACUGCCACUGACAUUGAGGCUCGAAAGUGUGGGUAUCGAACAGGAUUAGAUACCCUGGUAGUC
rnacentral:rRNA from 1 species